GAGGGUGUAUCUCAGUGGUAGAGCACGUGCUUAUCAUGCAGGGGGUCCUGGGUUCAAUCCCCAGUGCCUUCA